CAGAAGUACAAGGAACAAAAGGCGAAGUUGAAGAGAAGACCAGGGUCAUCAUUUUUGACAUCAAUUCCACGUUGUCUUCAGAAAUGAAGCCGGCCGAUACCGAAUGUUUCCGAACACUACCGAACAACACCGAACGUUAUCUGCCGGUCUUCGUUGGGAAGGAAGCUCAUGUCAUUCUUCUCGCGAACGUCGGGGUGAUAAGACGUGUUGAGAGUGUCCUUCUCUAUAAGCAGAUAUUUAGUUGAUAUUGAAGAGACGCCACAUGAUACGACGCUAUGACACAGAUAUUAGUUUGAAAUACAAUUUCGUAAAGAAUUGGUAACCUGUCAAUUUAUUGUAAUCAAUUAUUAAUAUUUAUUAUUACUUUUUUUUCAUUGAGUCGUC